GCCAGUGUGGUGUAGUGAUUUCAGCAUUGGACUACAACUCUGAGGAUCAAGGUUCAAGUCCUUGCUUGGCCA